rnacentral:rRNA from 1 species
UACAGAGGUCUCAAGCGUUGCUCGGAAUCACUGGGCGUAAAGGGCGCGUAGGCGGAUCUUUAAGUCGGGGGUGAAAGCCCAGGGCUCAACCCUGGAAUUGCCUUCGAUACUGGAGAUCUUGAGACCGGAAGAGGUAAGUGGAACUGCGAGUGUAGAGGUGAAAUUCGUAGAUAUUCGCAAGAACACCAGUGGCGAAGGCGGCUUACUGGUCCGGUUCUGACGCUGAGGCGCGAAAGCGUGGGGAGCAAACAGG